AGGAAGUCGGAAAUACUUUUAUUAUGGAGAGAAAUGUCACAUUAAAUGUUUUACUUUUGCUCUGUAGGAAUGUAUCUCUGACUUGAAUUGGCUGCAUUAUGGACUGAUCACUCUUCAUGAACACACAGCUGGGUACAGGUGAGGCAGGUCUGUCCUGAUGGGUACAGGUGAGGCAGGUCUCUCCUGACGGGUAGAGGUGAGGCAGGUCUGUCCUGACGGGUAGAGGUGAGGCAGGUCUGUCCUGACGGGUAGAGGUGAGGCAGGUCUGUCCUGACGGGUAGAGGUGAGGCUGGUCUGUCCUGAUGGGUACAGGUGAGGCAGGUCUGUCCUGACGGGUAGAGGUGAGGCUGGUCUGUCCUGAUGGGUACAGGUGAGGCCUGUCUGUCCUGAUGGGUACAGGUGAGGCAGGUCUGUCCUGAUGGGUCAAGCUUUUAGUCUGUUAUGGACUACACCUAAAGGGCCCCUAAAAUUCCAAAUCAUUUGACCAUCUUAAAACAAUUCUCUGUAGCCCAACUCCCUCUACCGAUCCAAUGGUGUCAACUCUCUGUAGCGCAACUCCCUCUACCGAUCCAAUGGUGUCAACUCUCUGUAGCCCAACUCCCUCUACCGAUCCAAUGGUGUCAACUCUCUGUAGCGCAACUCCCUCUACCGAUCCAAUGGUGUCAACUCUCUGUAGCCCAACUCCCUCUACCGAUCCAAUGGUGUCAACUCUCUGUAGCCCAACUCCCUCUACCGAUCCAAUGGUGUCAACUCUCUGUAGCCCAACUCCCUCUACCGAUCCAAUGGUGUCAACUCUCUGUAGCCCAACUCCCUCUACCAUCCAAUGGUGUCAACUCUCUGUAGCCCAACUCCCUCUACCGAUCCAAU
rnacentral:lncRNA from 1 species